rnacentral:rRNA from 1 species
UACGGGGGGGGCAAGCGUUGUUCGGAAUUACUGGGCGUAAAGCGUGCGCAGGCGGUUUCUUAAGUCAGAUGUGAAAGCCCCGGGCUUAACCUGGGAACUGCGUUUGAAACUGGGAGACUUGAGUGUGGCAGAGGGGGGUGGAAUUCCACGUGUAGCAGUGAAAUGCGUAGAUAUGUGGAGGAACACCGAUGGCGAAGGCAGCCCCCUGGGUUAGCACUGACGCUCAUGCACGAAAGCGUGGGGAGUAAACAGG